AUGGACUCCGAGAAGAUGCAGAUGGCCUCUCGCCCGGCGACUGCGUACCCGGAGGCUGCCUGGCUGGUGAGCGCUUGGACCCUCUCCACCGCCUGCCUCUUCCUCCUCACUUCCGCACUAGUCGAAACUCUCGACCACUUCGACGUCGAUAUCCCCUGCAGCCCGUCCUGGUGGUCGGUUUUGCGGUGCGUCGAGCUGACGGACGCGGGCGCUGCUAAGGUAGCCGCCGCGGGAAGCGCCAUGCGGAUCGGGAUGCUCUGGCGUGCCGCGCCACAGGCCGCGGCGGCGGCGCUGGCUCUGCUGCUUCCAUGCCGCUACCGCCAGGCCCGCCGCGCCCUCGACUGCCUCGCGCUCGCGCUGCCGUCCUCGGCCACUACAUGUACGCGUGCGCCUGUCUCCUCGUCCUCGCCGCCGGCGUAG
rnacentral:rRNA from 1 species